UACGGAGGGUGGCAAAUGUUGUUCGGAAUCACUGGGCGUAAAGGGAGCGUAGGCGGGUUCUUAAGUAAGGUGUUUAAUCCCGGGGCCCAACCCCGGACCGGCACUUUAAACUGGGAAUCUUGAAUAGUGGAGAGGUCAGUGGAAUUGGGGGUGUAGCGGUGGAAUGCGUAGAGAUCCCCAAGAACACCAGUUGCGAAGGCGGCUGACUGGACACAUAUUGACGCUGAGGCUCGAAAGCAUGGGGAGCAAACAGG
rnacentral:rRNA from 1 species